rnacentral:tRNA from 1 species
GCCCGAGUAGCUCAGCAGGUAGAGCGUCCGGCUGUUAACCGGCAGGUCGGAGGUUCAAGUCCUCCCUCGGGCG